rnacentral:rRNA from 1 species
GACGAACGCUGGCGGCGUGCUUAACACAUGCAAGUCGAACGGAAAGGCCUCUUUCGGGGGGUACUCGAGUGGCGAACGGGUGAGUAACACGUGAGUAACCUGCCCUUGACUUUGGGAUAACUUCAGGAAACUGGGGCUAAUACCGGAUAGGAGCUCCUGCUGCAUGGGGGGGGGUGGAAAGUUUCGGCGGUUGGGGAUGGACUCGCGGCUUAUCAGCUUGUUGGUGGGGUAGUGGCUUACCAAGGCUUUGACGGGUAGCCGGCCUGAGAGGGUGACCGGCCACAUUGGGACUGAGAUACGGCCCAGACUCCUACGGGAGGCAGCAGUGGGGAAUAUUGCACAAUGGGUGGAAGCCUGGUGCAGCAACGCCGUGUGCGGGAUGACGGCCUUCGGGUUGUAAACCGCUUUCGCUCAUGACGAAGCUUUGUGUGACGGUAGUGGGUAAAGAAGCACCGGCUACCUACGU